rnacentral:rRNA from 1 species
UACGAGAGGCCCAAACGUUAUUCGGAAUCACUGGGCUUAAAGAGUUCGUAGGCGGCGCGGAAAGUGGGGUGUGAAAGCCCUCGGCUCAACCGAGGAAUUGCGCUCCAAACUGUCGCGCUUGAGUAGGCUAGAGGUAAGCAGAACUGAUGGUGGAGCGGUGAAAUGCGUUGAUAUCAUCAGGAAUACCGGAGGCGAAGGCGGCUUACUGGGACCUAACUGACGCUGAGGAACGAAAGCUAGGGGAGCAAAC